rnacentral:rRNA from 1 species
CCUACGGGUGGCUGCAGUGAGGAAUAUUGGGCAAUGGGCGCGAGCCUGACCCAGCCAAGUAGCGUGAAGGAUGACUGCCCUACGGGUUGUAAACUUCUUUUAUAAAGGAAUAAAGUGAGGCGCGUGUGCCUUUCUGUCUGUACUUUAUGCAUAAGGAUCGGCUAACUCUGUGCCAGCAGCCGCGGUAACACGGAGGAUCCGAGCGUUAUCCGGAUUUAUUGGGUUUAAAGGGGGCGUAGAUGGGUUGUUAAGUCAGUUGUGAAAGUUUGGGGCUCAACCGUAAAAUUGCAAUUGAUACUGGCAGCCUUGAGUGCAGUUGGGGUAGGUGGAAUUCGUGGUGUAGCGGUGAAAUGCUUAGAUAUCACGAAGAACUCCGAUUGCGAAGGCAGCCUACUAACCUGCCACUGACAUUGAUGCUCGAAAGUGUGGGUAUCAAACAGGAUUAGAUACCCUAGUAGUC